UACGAAGGGGGCGAGCGUUGUUCGGAAUUACUGGGCGUAAAGGGCGCGCAGGCGGCCUUAGAAGUCAGAUGUGAAAGCCCCGGGCUCAACCUGGGAAUGGCAUUUGAUACUCUGAGGCUGGAGUACGGGAGAGGAGAGUGGAAUUCCAGUGUAGAGGUGAAAUUCGUAGAUAUUGGGAAGAACACCGGUGGCGAAGGCGGCUCUCUGGACCGUAACUGACGCUGAGGCGCGAAAGCGUGGGGAGCAAACAGG
rnacentral:rRNA from 1 species